GACGGAGGAUGCAAGUGUUAUCCGGAAUCACUGGGCGUAAAGCGUCUGUAGGUGGUUUAAUAAGUCAACUGUUAAAUCUUGAGGCUCAACCUCAAAAUCGCAGUCGAAACUAUUAGGCUAGAGUAUAGUAGGGGUGAAGGGAAUUUCCAGUGGAGCGGUGAAAUGCGUAGAGAUUGGAAAGAACACCGAUGGCGAAGGCACUUUACUGGGCUAUUACUAACACUCAGAGACGAAAGCUAGGGUAGCAAAUGGG
rnacentral:rRNA from 1 species